GAUGUAUGUGACACUGAUGUCUGUAUUCCAGUGCGCACUGGAGCAGGUAUUCUUCUGUUGGUGAUCUUCAUUGUCAUUGUUUGCUGUAUCCAGAAAAAAGCAAACAUAAUAAAGGACAAAGUUGAGCUUCCAUUGAAGAAGCAUCAUCAUCAUCAUCAGAAGCAGCUGGUUGGUAGCGUCCCGGAGCCUGACUUCUGUGCAGACUGUGGUCUGGAGGUAGACAACAGGAUAUAAUGUAAUCAUUAUUCAACAUUCAGCCUGUUUUGUUUUUCCGCCUUUCAUUUUUUUUUCUUCCAGCCAAGUUCAUCUUGGCUGUUAGAG